rnacentral:sRNA from 2 species
GCGGAACACUCACCACAGGCAUGGAGCGGGGGACCCAGGUUCCACGGUGCACGUCACCUCGGGGUGAAGCCGCCCGAUCCGGGCGGCCGGGCUCCUCGGCCCGAACCCGACAGCUCACCUCGUCGGCGUGGAGGAACCCAUGG